rnacentral:rRNA from 1 species
UACAGGGGGGGGCGAGCGUUGUUCGGAAUUACUGGGCGUAAAGGGUUUGUAGGUGGCUUGCUCAGUCAGACGUGAAAUCCCUCAGCUUAACUGGGGAACUGCGUCUGAUACUAGCGAGCUUGAGUGCAGGAGAGGAACGCGGAAUUCCAGGUGUAGCGGUGAAAUGCGUAGAUAUCAUUUGGAACGCCAAUGGUGAAAACAGGUAGCUGGGAGUGUGCUGACGCUGAGACACGAAAGCCAGGGGAGCGAACGGG